AUAAAAAGAAGAAGAUA
rnacentral:sRNA from 1 species